AGCAAGAUGUGGUUUCAUGUGGUGUGUUUGCGCUUAAAUUUGCAGAGUGCAUACUGGAAAACAAGGACCUGAACUUUCCAUCAGCAGCAGAAGCUGUUAAUACCAUGAGACUCAACAUGUCUUCCACACUUCUCUCAGAAUCAGAGUCAGUGGAGACUCUGCAGACACUGUGGCAGUGAGGACACAGAAGAUCACAUGUGGGUAAGACAACAAUGUAAUGCAGUGAAAAAUCAAUUCAAGCAAACCAUAUACCAUCCUUAAAAUAGUUGCAAAGUAUGUAGAUAUACAAAAAUAAAUCAUAAUAAAAUAAAUAAACACCCAAGGCAGGUAAGUGGGAAGUAGCUUAAGUUUUUUUUUUUUUUAAGUACAGUCGUAAAACAUUAAACACAGUUGCUUGUGGUCCUAGAAUUUUUUUUACCUCCAUACAUGUCAGGAACAUGCUGUCAUCUCCUCAAAUAAAGUUCUACCAAUCAUAUAUUGAUAAUUAAGAAGAAGCUUUAUGUUGGCAAAACCCAAUAUCACCUUCAGUAAACAGAUAAGGAACUAAAAAAAAAAUUCUUUAUGUUGUUAUUUGAC